AAUGAGAGGGAAGUGAGGUAUCAUUGUAAAUUCGCGUCGCUAUUAAUUUGUGGCAUGAGGAAGCUGCAUCUGAGGCGUAAUUUGUGAUAAUGAUUUUCUCUGUGAAUCGCCUCUUCCUCGAUUCUCACUUCUGUUUCUUCUUCUUUUCAUUCCUCUUGCAGAGAAAAAUGGUGCGCCUUUGUUGGAGAUGAAGCGCAAAGUUGAAGACGACGAAGGUUGAAGCUUGGAAGAGCGAGAUUGAAACAAAAUUGUUGCAGAGAUUUGGAGAGUGAAGAAUGCGGAAAUUUGAGAGUGAAGAACGAAGAAGAGGAAAAUAGAAUGAAGAUGUGGAAGAAGAUUGAAGAUUAUGCAGAAAAAUGGUUGAAGUUAUGAUGAUUUUCACUGCCGUGGGGCUUUUUUUGGAAAUAUUCUGUGAAUAGAGGAAAGGUGGAUGUACAUGUUACAGAUCUUGGAGUUAUGCGAAAGGUUUUAUCAGCUUCAGUGGAACUGCUCUUCCAUAAACAUGUUGCUACAGGUUGAAAUAGAAUUUGGAGAGUUAGAAAGUUAGUUUGAAAAUGUUAAUAUAUUAUUUAUUUUGAUUGGAAUUUGUAGGUGGGAUUGUUUGAAUUCUAUGUGUGUAGAAUAAUAAAUUGAAUUGUGGAUGUGAAAAUGUAUUUUGAAUUGGAAUUGA